rnacentral:rRNA from 1 species
AUAAGGAGUCGGACCUGCCCAGUGAAUUUUCAACGGCCGCGGUACUCUGACCGUGCAAAGGUAGCAUAAUCAUUUGCCUUAUAAUUGAAGGCUAGUAUGAAUGGUUUGACAAGAAUAUAGCUGUCUCAUUAUGAUUUAAUAGAAUUUUAUUUUAAGGUGAAGAAGCCUUAAUAAAAUUAAAAGACAAGAAGACCCUAUCGAGCUUUAAAUAAAUUAAAGGAAAUUAAUUAAUAAAAAUAUAAAAAAUUAGCCUUUAAAAAUUUUGGUUGGGGCGACUAAGGAACAGAUAAAGCUUCCUUUUAAAAUAUAAACAGACAUGAAUGAUCCAGACUUUCUGAGUAAAGGAAUUAGUUACCGUAGGGAUAACAGCAUAAUCUCUUUUGAGAGUUCUUAUCGAAAAGGGGGUUUGUGACCUCGAUGUUGGACCAGAAUAUCCUAAAGGUGCAGAAGCCUUUAAGGGUUGGUCUGUUCGACCAUUAAAAUUCUA